rnacentral:tRNA from 1 species
GAGAGAUGGCAGAGUGGUCGAUUGCGGCGGUCUUGAAAACCGUUGAGUGUAACAGCUCCAGGGGUUCGAAUCCCUUUCUCUCC